AUUCAUCUGAUGUGUCCCAAAUAGGACGAAACCAGUGUCCUGGAU
rnacentral:hammerhead_ribozyme from 1 species